rnacentral:rRNA from 1 species
AGCGAACGCUGGCGGCAGGCUUAACACAUGCAAGUCGAGCGGGCACUUUCGGGUGUCAGCGGCGGACGGGUGAGUAACGCGUGGGAACGUGCCCUCUGGUUCGGAAUAACUCAGGGAAACUUGAGCUAAUACCGGAUACGCCCUUUUGGGGAAAGGCUUGCUGCCGGAGGAUCGGCCCGCGUCUGAUUAGCUAGUUGGUGAGGUAACGGCUCACCAAGGCGACGAUCAGUAGCUGGUCUGAGAGGAUGAUCAGCCACACUGGGACUGAGACACGGCCCAGACUCCUACGGGAGGCAGCAGUGGGGAAUAUUGGACAAUGGGCGCAAGCCUGAUCCAGCCAUGCCGCGUGAGUGAUGAAGGCCUUAGGGUUGUAAAGCUCUUUUAUCCGGGACGAUAAUGACGGUACCGGAGGAAUAAGCCCCGGCUAAC